AUGAAUCUCUUGGCCUGGAACUGUCGAGGAUUGGGGUUGGACUCGACAAUUGGCGAAUUAAGAGACCUGAUACGGUCCUACAACCCGGCGGUGGUUUUUCUCUGUGAAACGAAGAAAACAGUGAGAGCAAUGGAGCGACUACAGUGGAGCAUGGGUUUUAAUCAUGGUGUAGUGGUAGAUUGUCAAGGGAGGAGUGGAGGUCUUGCUCUAUGGUGGAGAGAUCAUCUUCAGGUUACCGUGCGGCCGUGGAGCCAGUACUUUAUCGAUGCUGAGGUGAUGUGUGAGGGGAAAACUUGUAGGAUCACUGGAUUCUACGGGGAACCCCAAACGGAACUACGCAAGAAAUCAUGGGAUGCUAUAGAUACUUGCGAGCUCAAGGCGAUCUGCCGUGGAUUUGCUUGGGUGAUUACAAUGAAGCCUUGUUUCUCUCUAACCAGAUUGGUGGUAACCCAAGACCCUUCUUGCAAAUGGAAGAUUUUCGCGACUGUCUUGCUGAUUGUGGCCUAG
rnacentral:rRNA from 1 species